AAUGGACAAACCUCUAGUGUGCUGGUUGUGAUGCCAAUUGCAUUGCCAGGUAGCUAUGUUUGGAAAGGAUAACCGCUGAAAGCAUCUAAGCGGGAAACCAACCCUAAAACAAGAUAUCUCUUCUUCCUUCGGGAAGACUUAAGACUCCUUGAAGACUACGAGGUUGAUAGGCAGGAUGUGUAAGCACAGCAAUGUGUUCAGCUAACCUGUACUAAUAAGUCGUGAGGCUUGACCAU
rnacentral:rRNA from 1 species